GCCACAGCUUAGUGGUAGAGCAACUGCUUUGCGUGCAGAAGGUCCCAGGUUCAAUCCUUGGUGUCUCCA